UACGGAGGGUGCGAGCGUUGUCCGGAAUCACUGGGCGUAAAGGGCGCGUAGGCGGCCUGAUAAGUAGGGGGGUGAAAUCCUGAGGCUUAACCUCAGGGCUGCCUUCUAAACUGUCAGGCUCGAGCACAGUAGAGGCAGGUGGAAUUCCCGGUGUAGCGGUGGAAUGCGUAGAGAUCGGGAAGAACAUCAGUGGCGAAGGCGGCCUGCUGGGCUGUUGCUGACGCUGAGGCGCGAAAGCUAGGGGAGCGAACGGG
rnacentral:rRNA from 1 species